rnacentral:rRNA from 1 species
AGAGUUUGAUCCUGGCUCAGGAUGAACGCUGACAGAAUGCUUAACACAUGCAAGUCAACUUGAACUUCGGUUUGGGUGGCGGACGGGUGAGUAACGCGUAAAGAACUUGCCUCACAGAUAGGGACAACAUUUGGAAACGAAUGCUAAUACCUGAUAUUAUGAUUUUAGGGCAUCUUAGGAUUAUGAAAGCUAUAUGCGCUGUGAGAGAGCUUUGCGUCCCAUUAGCUAGUUGGAGAGGUAACGGCUCACCAAGGCGAUGAUGGGUAGCCGGCCUGAGAGGGUGAUCGGCCACAAGGGGACUGAGACACGGCCCUUACUCCUACGGGAGGCAGCAGUGGGGAAUAUUGGACAAUGGACCAAGAGUCUGAUCCAGCAAUUCUGUGUGCACGAUGAAGUUUUUCGGAAUGUAAAGUGCUUUCAGUUGGGAAGAAAAAAAUGACGGUACCAACAGAAGAAGUGACGGCUAAAUACGUG